rnacentral:rRNA from 1 species
AGAACGAACGCUGGCGGCAUGCCUAACACAUGCAAGUCGAACGAUGCUUUCGGGCAUAGUGGCGCACGGGUGCGUAACGCGUGGGAAUCUGCCCCUUGGUUCGGAAUAACAGUUAGAAAUGACUGCUAAUACCGGAUGACGACGUAAGUCCAAAGAUUUAUCGCCGAGGGAUGAGCCCGCGUAGGAUUAGCUAGUUGGUGAGGUAAUGGCUCACCAAGGCGACGAUCCUUAGCUGGUCUGAGAGGAUGAUCAGCCACACUGGGACUGAGACACGGCCCAGACUCCUACGGGAGGCAGCAGUGGGGAAUAUUGGACAAUGGGCGCAAGCCUGAUCCAGCAAUGCCGCGUGAGUGAAGAAGGCCUUCGGGUUGUAAAGCUCUUUUGUCAGGGACGAUAAUGACGGUACCUAGAAGAAUAAGCCCCGGCAAACUUCGUGCCAGCAGCCGC